GACGAACGCUGGCGGCGUGCUUAACACAUGCAAGUCGAACGGAAAGGCCCUGCUUUUGUGGGGUGCUCGAGUGGCGAACGGGUGAGUAACACGUGAGUAACCUGCCCUUGACUUUGGGAUAACUUCAGAAAACUGGGGCUAAUACCGGAUAGGAGCUCCUGCUGCAUGGUGGGGGUUGGAAAGUUUCGGCGGUUGGGGAUGGACUCGCGGCUUAUCAGCUUGUUGGUGGGGUAGUGGCUUACCAAGGCUUUGACGGGUAGCCGGCCUGAGAGGGUGACCGGCCACAUUGGGACUGAGAUACGGCCCAGACUGCUACGGGAGGCAGCAGUGGGGAAUAUUGCACAAUGGGCGGAAGCCUGAGGCAGCAACGCCGCGUGCGGGAUGACGGCCUUCGGGUUGUAAACCGCUUUCGCCUGUGACGAGGCGUGAGUGACGGUAAUGGGUAAAGAAGCACCGGCUAACUACGUG
rnacentral:rRNA from 1 species